GAUGAACGCUGGCGGCGUGCCUAAUACAUGCAAGUCGAGCGAACGGACGAGAAGCUUGCCUCUCUGAUGUUAGCGGCGGACGGGUGAGUAACACGUGGAUAACCUACCUAUAAGACUGGGAUAACUUCGGGAAACCGGAGCUAAUACCGGAUAAUAUUUUGAACCGCAUGGUUCAAAAGUGAAAGACGGUCUUGCUGUCACUUAUAGAUGGAUCCGCGCUGCAUUAGCUAGUUGGUAAGGUAACGGCUUACCAAGGCAACGAUGCAUAGCCUACCUGAGAGGGUGAUCGGCCACACUGGAACUGAGACACGGUCCAGACUCCUACGGGAGGCAGCAGUAGGGAAUCUUCCGCAAUGGGCGAAAGCCUGACGGAGCAACGCCGCGUGAGUGAUGAAGGUCUUCGGAUCGUAAAACUCUGUUAUUAGGGAAGAACAUAUGUGUAAGUAACUGUGCACAUCUUGACGGUACCUAAUCAGAAAGCCACGGCUAACUACGUG
rnacentral:rRNA from 1 species